UAUAUAUAUUAGGGGUGCAACGAUAUUCGUAUCGAUAUUGAACCGUUCGAUACAGUGCUUUCGGUUCGGUACGCAUAUGUAUCGAACAAUACAACAUUUGUAAUUUCUUUUAUCAAUUUUCCUUCUGACGAUGCUGUCUGUGUUGAGCGCUCAGUGAAUCUGUGUUCGACUACUCCUCCUAGGCUGCACUGUCCAGCGCAGAUCCACUGAGCGCUCAACACAGACAGCAUAGUCAGAAGGAAGAGCGCAGGGCACCUCCCCCACCCUCAUUCAGAUCUGGCGUUUGGAAUUAUUUUGGUUUUCAUGUGACGUAUGACCCUGAAGGUAAGCGAGUCAUGGACUAAAGUAAAACAGUAUGUUGGAUGUGCCAUGCAAUGCUCAAUUACAUUGGUGUGAACUAGUGUGCUAGCGCAGUUAGCUCGUUAACGUGUUGGCCGUCUAGCCCCAUGCACGGAGCAAUCGGCGGUAGCUCGUUAACGGAGAUUUGCCGUGUUGUGGCGUUAAGGUCAUUUCAACGAGAUUAACCUGAAAGCACUAGUGGGAACACGACGAAUAUGACUGCACAUUUACGCCGACAUCAUCCUAGUGCAAAGACAAUGGAAGCAGACAAAAAAAAGCAAGCAUGCUACUAACUUUAGCCGAGUCAUUUAGACAGCUGUUAGCACAUGAUUCUCCUUAUGCUGCUGAGAAUAUAGCCCAGAAGAAGCGGAUAGUAUAGCUUUUAUUUUGGAAAGAGCCAUUUCUCUGUAAUAAACUCUCUUUUCCAAAGAUGAGUGAUUCCUCAAUCAGAUACAGGGCUCGCAAUAUCGCUAGCCCGACGUCCCGGAGCUAGCGAUUUUUUCAGUCGGGCUACCAAAAUCUAUCUCUUCCCUGAACGUCGGGCUAUUGUAGGAAAAAUAUAUGUCAAUGCUUUUGCAUUCUUUCAGAAAUGUAGCUGGGUAAUUAUGUCAUUGGCAUCGGUGAGCCACUGUCAAUAUGUGACAUAUUGAAGUCGCGUUUGAAUUUGCGCUCGUUUUUUUGCUUUCACUUUGCAAUCGUGCGAACUGUGUAUAGAGAGCAACAGCACUGAUCUGUGAGUGAUGAUAAUUUGUGCACCAAUUCCUCUGACAUCGUCUUAUUAAUCGUUAGCUUACUAUGCAAACAUGACAAGUGAAAUCUCCCGCAGCAAGCUUAAACAUGUGAGAGGUUGAUCGCGCAGAGAAUCGCUGAGCUUAUGUGAGUGAGUGUGUAAAAGCAUUUCAGUUCUGCUGAGCCAAAUAAGACAGGUCAGGGUGAAGAAGUGACAGCCAAAGAAAAGCUUACCACAAAACGGAGAAGUUAUGACAAAUCAGACUAUAAGGCAAAAAGAAAGUGCAGCUUCAUGGUUUCAUGGACAAAAGAAUUUCUGUGGCUGCGAUAUGACGAGCUAAAUAACCAGGGCUGCACAUAAGUGGUCCGCAGGUGCGCAUUCGCUGUCAAAAUAAAAAACACGCACAAGGGUUAGGGUUAAAUUUAAAAACUGUACUUUUGAGUUAAAAUAUAUAUUUAUAAUUUUAAUAAAUGACAAAUUAAAAAUGCAUGAACAUUUUUUUGUAUCGAAAAAAUAUCGAACCGUGACACCAAAGUAUCGAACCGAACCGAACCGUGAAUUUUGUGUAUCGUUGCACCCCUAAUAGAUAGAUAGAUAGAUAGAUAGAUAGAUAGAUAGAUAGAUAGAUAGAUAGAUAGAUAGAUAGAUAGAUAGCUUGUCUAUAAAAGGUGUCUUUAAAAGCUGUCUGGACUCCUGGUGAAACAUUUGCCCAAACACCCUGGAGAGGACACAGGCACAGGAAAGAAAGGUGAGUAAUCACAUCUUAGUCACUUCUUUGCACCACAUUAUUUUUAGAUUUUCACACACUUGCAUUAGUUCUCCUUACUGGUAAACCUUAUUUGCUCUCAAUCCCAAUUCCUUUCUCCUCACAGACAACCACCACAUUUCUUGAUGAGGAGCAGCUGUGCGGGACCUGGAACAAAGGCUACCAACUGAUUUUAAAAUACGCAAUAAAUAUUCAAUAAAUAAUUAAA
ensembl:lncRNA